UACGGGGGGGGGCAAGCGUUGUUCGGAAUUACUGGGCGUAAAGGGCUCGUAGGCGGCCAACUAAGUCAGACGUGAAAUCCCUCGGCUUAACCGGGGAACUGCGUCUGAUACUGGAUGGCUCGAGUUUGGGAGAGGGAUGCGGAAUUCCAGGUGUAGCGGUGAAAUGCGUAGAUAUCUGGAGGAACACCGGUGGCGAAGGCGGCAUCCUGGACCAAUUCUGACGCUGAGGAGCGAAAAGCCAGGGGAGCAAACGGGG
rnacentral:rRNA from 1 species